GAUAAUUAAAAUCAAUAACAGGACCAUUGUUGAGUUGCACUUCGUCAGUUUUACUUCGAGAUUGAAAGUGUUUCCCGGAUUUGUGUCGAUAGUCAGGUACAUACGUAAGUGAGCAGUAGUAUAUUUCACAGCAGUUAUUUAGCUGUGGGAAAGUGAACAAUGUCGAGCAGAUAAGGGAUGAAUCUACUAGAGGCUAGAGUACACUUCAAACAUGGCAAAAACUCGACAAACUACAGAGCCCUCAGACGUCAUCGACAAUAUGACGGCGAAGAUGAAGAUGGAAUGGAUGAAGUUCCUUUGAUGUUUAAUGGUGAAGACUUCGAAAUGGACGAAAGCGAAUCGUUGAUGAAACAAAAACGUUCCAGGUGUCCUCGCCUGAGAACUUUAGGAUAUUACUUAUCUGAAGGCUGGUGGCAUGUGUGCUGUGGGUGUUUAGCAUCUUUAUUUUCAAAAUGUUGCAGGAAGAAAGAGUUACAGCCCCGUAUUAUACAUAUAGGUUUAUCGAGGGGCCCACUGGAGAAGUACUCCAAGAAUGUGAUCAGAAAUCAGAAGUAUAGUGUAUUUAGUUUCAUACCAAAGGUAUUAUAUGAACAGUUCAAUUUUUUCUUGAAUUUGUAUUUUCUUAUAAUGGCAAUUUCCCAGUUCCUACCAGAAAUCCGUAUUGGUUACCUCUACACAUACUGGGGUCCUUUGUGCUUUGUAAUAUUUGUUACAAUGGUGAGGGAAGGCUUCGAUGAUUAUCAGCGGUACCGAAGAGAUAAAGAAGCCAACUCACAACUGUAUGGAAAACUUACACGUGAUGGGUUGAAAUUACUCCCUAGUUCCAAUAUAAAAGUUGGAGAUUUAAUAACUGUUGAAAAGAACCAACGAGUGCCUGCUGAUAUGGUUUUAAUUCGGACAACAGAAAAAGUUGGGUCUUGCUUUAUUCGAACAGACCAAAUGGAUGGUGAAACAGAUUGGAAAUUACGUAUAGCUUUGCAGUCUACUCAGCAUCUUCCCUCAGAUGAAAGUCUACUAGAUAUUACAGCGCAUGUUUAUGCUGAGAAGCCAAGCAAAGAUAUUCAUAGUUUCGUUGGAACAUUUACUAUGACAGGUGAAAAUAGCGCUGAAGCUUCUUUGAGUAUUGAAAAUGUAUUAUGGGCAAACACAGUGAUUGCUUCUGGUACUGCUUUAGGAUUAGUCAUUUAUACUGGUAUGGAUACACGCAGUGUGAUGAAUACAUCACAGCCAAAGAGCAAAGUAGGAUUGCUUGAUGUUGAGAUCAACAAUAUCACCAAAGUAUUAUUUCUGGCUGUUGUCAUCUUAGCAAUUGUUAUGAUUAUACUAAAGGGAUUUGGUGGACCUUGGUAUAUAUACCUCUUCAGAUAUAUUUUGUUAUUUUCUUAUAUAAUUCCUAUUAGUUUACGUGUGAACCUGGACAUGGGAAAGGCUGUCUAUUCUUGGAUGAUUCAAAAAGAUAAAAAUAUUGAAGGAACAAUUGCUCGCAGUACAACAAUUGCAGAGGAAUUGGGACGGAUUAGUUACUUGAUGUCUGAUAAAACUGGAACCCUAACACAGAACGAAAUGGUUUUCAAAAGGCUUCAUCUUGGCACAGUAUCUUUUGCUUCUGAUACGAUGGAUGAGGUUAGUCUACAUGUGAAAACUGGAUUCUCUCAGAUGUCUUCAAUGUCUCAGCGCCAUACUGGACCUGUACGGCGUACAGUUAUCACUCGAGCAUUUGAAGCUGUAAGAGCAAUUGCACUCUGCCAUAAUGUAACACCAGUCUUUGAAAGUGUCAAUGAUACUGACAGCAGUACUAAUGGAGAUGUCAACCAAAUGUCACAUCAGAAAGUUGUUUACCAAGCAUCUAGUCCUGAUGAGGUGGCGCUGGUGAAAUGGACUGAAGAAGUUGGUCUAACGUUGGUAAAGCGGGACCUAAACUUAAUUCAGUUGAAAAACCCUAUGGGAACACUAAUUAAUUAUUCAGUUCUACAGUUGUUUCCAUUCACCUCAGAGUCUAAACGAAUGGGAAUUAUUGUAAAAGAAGAACAAACUGGAGAUAUCACAUUUUAUUUGAAAGGAGCUGAUGUUGUCAUGACAACUAUUGUUCAGUAUAAUGAUUGGCUUGAAGAAGAGUGUGGAAAUAUGGCCCGAGAAGGUUUGCGUACUUUAGUUGUAGCCAAGAAGAACCUGUCAGAGGAGCAAUACUGUGAUUUUGAAACACGUUAUCACCAAGCUAAAAUGUGUGUUCAUGAUCGAAAUGUGAAGAUGCAAGCUGUAAUUGAAGGUUUAGAGCGAGAUAUGGAACUUUUGUGUCUUACAGGAGUUGAAGAUAAACUUCAAGAUGGUGUAAGACCUACACUGGAGUUAUUAAGAAAUGCUGGCAUCAAAACUUGGAUGUUAACUGGAGACAAAUUAGAAACAGCCACUUGUAUUGCUAAGAGUUCCAAACUGGUAUCACGUAACAUGGACAUCCAUACCUUUAGAAGGGUUGAUACAAGAGAUGAGGCUCAUCUUGAAUUGAAUGCACUUCGACGAAAGAACGAUUCUGCUCUUAUCAUCAGUGGAGACUCCGUCCAGGUUUGCUUACGUUAUUACGAACAUGAAUUUGUGGAACUUUCUUGCCAAUGUCCCUGUGUUGUAGUCUGUCGAUGUUCACCAACUCAGAAAGCUGAUAUCGUGAAAUUACUGAAACUCCACAUUGGAAAAAUAGUGUGUGCUGUUGGCGAUGGUGGAAAUGAUGUCAGUAUGAUCCAAGCUGCUGAUGCUGGAAUUGGUAUAGUUGGAAAGGAAGGCAAACAGGCAGCUCUUGCAGCAGACUUUUCAAUAAAUCAGUUCAGUUAUAUUGGCCAUCUUCUCAUGGUUCAUGGUAGGAACAGCUACAAAAGAUCAGCAGCUUUGGCCCAGUUUGUUAUCCACCGUGGUCUCAUCAUUACAGCCAUGCAGGCUGUUUUCUGCUCAGUCUUUUAUUUUGCCUCUGUGUCUUUGUUUCCUGGAUUCCUCAUGGUUGGAUAUGCUACAGUGUUCACAAUGUUUCCAGUAUUUUCUCUCGUGCUUGACAAAGAUGUCUCUGCAGGCAUUGCCAUGACAUAUCCAGAGUUAUAUAAAGAAUUAACAAAGGGCCGGUCCUUAUCAUUUAAAACAUUUUUCCUGUGGGUUUUAAUAAGUAUUUACCAAGGUUAGUUCAGUUUUAUAAUCUAUUUAUAAUUAAAUGACAUUGAAACACACAUAGACUUUGUACUAUUUCAUUUUCGCGUAUUAAUUGUUCUAUCAGUAAACCACUAAUGAUGCCAUGGAUACCAAGAUGGGCAUUAGUUACACCAACCUCUUCAUUGGUUGUUUUGAAGCCCAGUUCACUGGAACCAGCCAUGAAAUUUCAUUCCUUAAAUCAACACUUACUAAUAGGCUCCACCAUCCUGGAUACUUUAAUUUUCUUUUGACACCUCCAUCACAUUCUGUAGCCCUCUGUGCAUUAAAAAAAAUCUACCAGCCCACAUACCUACUCUUCUACCCAUACUCUCAUUAAAGUUGCCAUUCCACUUUAUAGUAGGAAGCAAAUGCACCAUUUUUUCCUUGCAUGGUUUCUCCUGAAUCUAUAGUCAACACCACAUUUAGCUGAAAUCAGUCACUGAUAGAACUUCAAUACUUGUACUCUACACGACAGUUUCUGUUUUAUCAGUUUACACUAGUCAACUCUGCUGUUCUGUGGAAUAGUUUUUGUAAUUCACACUCUUUUGUUUGCUGACUGUGUGGUUAAGGAGUUUGCUUUGCAGCAACAUAGUUUUGAGUUCCAUCCCCCAGUAUAACACUUUGGACAAACACCAGGUUUCACAUUGUCAUCAUGUGUGAAAAAGGUGAUGGUGUCUCUAUCUCUUGUAAACAAUAUAUAUGUAGUCAAUCUGUAUAAACCUCAGUGGUUUUGUCAUAUGUGAAGACCAGUGGAAUAAAAAUAACCUAUUUCAUAACAAUUAGCUGAUGCAACUUACCUUUUAAGGCAGUGAGCUAGCAGAAUCGUUAACACGCCGGGCAAAAUACUUAGAAUGUAAAAACAGACAAAAUGCAGCUGAGUUCAAAUUCUGCUGAGACCGGACUUUGCCUUUAAUCCUUUCGAGGUUGAUAAAAUAAGUACCUGUUAAAUACUGGGGUCGAUGUAAUUAACUUAUCCUUCCCUCUAACUUGCUGGCCUUGUGCUAAAAUUUGAACCCCCCCCCACCAAAGUUAGUGAUGAAAAGAGCAUUUGGCCAUCACUUACUAUCUCAAUAACUCUUGUUGUCAAACCUAUGUGAACAUAUAAAAAGUAGACAUAAAAAA